UAAAAAUAAAAAACAAUUUUUUGUUAAUCAUGAUCAAAUUUUGAAGAGCCUACUGUAACCAAAUGAAUCAAAUUUCCUAAAGUUGAUUGGAGAGGAGAGGAAGAUGAUACGAUCGGUAAUGGUGAUAAACACCCAAGGCAAGCCUCGCCUUGCUAAAUUCUACGAUGUUCAGCCACCGGAGAAACAGCAGGACCUCAUUCGCAACAUCUAUGCAGUACUUUCCAGUAGGGCUGAGAAUGUAAGCAAUUUCAUGGAUGCCGAGCCCUUUUUCGGUCCUGAUACUCGUCUUGUGUACAAACACUUUGCAACUUUGUACUUUGUGUUUGUAUUUGAUAGUUCUGAAAAUGAGCUUGCCAUGCUUGAUUUGAUACAAGUAUUUGUGGAAACAUUGGACAAAUGCUUCAGAGAUGUUUGUGAGCUUGACAUAGUGUUCAACCACAGCAAGAUGCAUACCAUAUUAGAUGAGAUUGUAUUUGGAGGUCUAGUGUUGGAAACAAGCUCUACAGAAGUAAUGAAGGUCGUUGAAGAGAUAUCCAAGUUAGAAACAGCCUCGAAUUCCAUUUCUCUCGUCCCGAAAUCUGUUUCUAGUUGGCGGAGUUAGCGUAAGCUUUUCGAUGAUAUGCAGCAGAUAUUUUCCCGGUUUUCAGUCGCAGAUACUAUCAUUGGAGAUACUCUAAGUAUGCUUUUAAGAUAAAUAAUGAGUUUUAUUGGAUGAAAUAGACGCCUCAUCUUUAAGUAUUUUCUUUUCUCAUCAAAUAAAGUGGUCCCUAAAAAAAGUGUGAGUCCUGACAUUAAAUUGUACCAAACUACUUUAAAGUUAAAAAAAGUAAUUUAUGGUAUAAAUACUUAAGUUUAAUUGACAGUUUCAAAUAAAUACUUAAUUUAAUUUUUAAUGGUAAUAAUCUUUGACAUAUGGUAAUUCC